rnacentral:rRNA from 1 species
GACAUAGGGUGCAAACGUUGUUCGGAAUUACUGGGCGUAAAGCGCGUGUAGGCGGCUAAGUAAGUCGGGCGUGAAAUCCCACGGCUCAACCGUGGAAGUGCACUCGAAACUGCAUAGCUAGAGUCCUGUAGAGGAAGGUGGAAUGCUUGGUGUAGAGGUGAAAUUCGUAGAUAUCAAGCGGAACACCGGUGGCGAAGGCGGCCUUCUGGACAGUGACUGACGCUGAGACGCGAAAGCGUGGGGAGCAAACAGG